rnacentral:rRNA from 1 species
AGUGAACGCUGGCGGUAGGCCUAACACGUGCAAGUCGAACGGCAGCACAGUAAGAGCUUGCUCUUACGGGUGGCGAGUGGCGGACGGGUGAGGAAUACAUCGGAAUCUACUUUUUCGUGGGGGAUAACGUAGGGAAACUUACGCUAAUACCGCAUACGACCUACGGGUGAAAGCAGGGGAUCUUCGGACCUUGCGCGAUUGAAUGAGCCGAUGUCGGAUUAGCUAGUUGGCGGGGUAAAGGCCCACCAAGGCGACGAUCCGUAGCUGGUCUUAGAGGAUGAUCAGCCACACUGGAACUGAGACACGGUCCAGACUCCUACGGGAGGCAGCAGUGGGGAAUAUUGGACAAUGGGCGCAAGCCUGAUCCAGCCAUACCGCGUGGGUGAAGAAGGCCUUCGGGUUGUAAAGCCCUUUUGUUGGGAAAGAAAAGCAGCAGGUUAAUACCCCGCUGUUCUGACGGUACCCAAAGAAUAAGCACCGGCUAACUUCGUG